rnacentral:lncRNA from 1 species
AGAACUACCUCCUGAGGAAGCCUGGGGUGAUUCCAGUUAUGAUAUCACCCUGACUUGAUUCCAAUUAUGAGAUUCUGAACUUUGAGCUGAUGUUGUAAUGCAAAAGUGAAACUUUUGAGGAUCUGAGGAGUAGGGGGGACGUAUUUUGCAUGUGGUAGGCAGCCUCUAAGAUGGUUCCCAAUAAUCUCACUUCCUGGUGGUUCACUCUCUGGGUGUAGGUGGGACCUAAUGACUAGCUUCUAAUGAAUAGAAUACAGCAGAAGGGACAGGAUAUCACUUCUGAUAUUUGGUGGUAAAAAGAUGAGUUUGUCUCUUGAUGCCUUCUCUCUCAAUGGAAGCCAGCUGUCAUGUUGGGAACUGCCCCCUGGGGAGGCCCACAUAGCAAGGGUUGAGGGAGGCUUCUAGCCAACAGCUCAAAAGGAACUGAAUCGUACCAAUAACCACAAGAGUGAAUUUGGAAGCAGGUUCUCCCCAGUGGAACCUUGAGUUGAGUAUAGCCCUACCACUGGAGCCACACGAGAGACCCUGAUGCAAAAAAGCCAGCUAAGCUACUCCCAGGUUGGUUCCUAACCCACAAAAUCUGUGAGAUAAUAAAUGUUGUUUUAAGUCAAAUUUGGGAUGUACUUUCUUAUACAGCAAUAGCUAUCUAAUAAAGGCAGGAGGAAAAGCUUAUUUGUAAUAAAUUAUUUACUGAAAACUUGGUCACAUAAAUGGAAAAAAGCAUUCUUGAUGCCAUGCCUUUGCAUUUUUAUCAUCACCCCAACCUAAAAGAAGGGUUCUUUAUCACAUGUGUUUACAAUGUGUCACAUAGGAGUUGGGUAUUGUCCUGGUUCUCUUUGCCCUUAUCCUGCAUUUUUUCAAGUUCCUCCAAGAAGGGGUGACACAGCGAACCUCUCCAAUUGAUCUUAUAGAUUAGGGGCUUCUACUUUUCACGAUAGCCACUUUUUAAAUUCUAUCAUUUUUAGCUUUGCCAUACAAUUUGAUUACAUUCCUUAGUGAAACAUCAAUGCUCUUAUUUUGAAUAUAUCACAAAUUCGUUAAAAUAUAUUUACAAAUACCUCUAUGUUUCCUAAAGUUAUAAUAAUCCCUAGCAGAAAACACUGGAAAUAGAAAAAAAGAGAAAAAAAACCUUCCUCUAUAGUUCAAGAAAAUUAGCGUUCAAACUUAGAUGAUAAAACAUGAAAUGAAAAUUCUUGAUGAAAAUAAUUUUAGAGGAGUUCCUUUUGGCAGAAAUAAAUGAUAAGUAAAAAUAGCAACUAAGGUAAGCCUCAGGCAGUGUUUUGUGACUUAAAGUAAGAUUGAGGUCUGAAUAUUGCAUUAUGAAGUACCUCAGGAGAGAGAAUGGGAAACCGUGAUCGCUGUGGAAAAGGAAAGGGAGAGUGUGAAGAAGAAAAUGAAGUCGGUGACAGCUGCUCAAUAAUUUCGUGGGACUCUCAGGACAUGUAACAUUAAACGUUAUUCAACCAUAGGAGUCCAACAGGAUUAUCAUCUUAUUAAUCAAAAGGCAUUAGGAUUUUAGCAGCAAGGAAGAAAGUGGAGAGCUACAGCAAAUAAAGGAAACUUUUAAUCAAAUACUUAUUUGGUCUUAUAGAUAUCCUACCCUUUAAUUCUUCCAUUUGUACCAUAUUAGAGAGUCUUUAUAUGUUAGACAUUGUAAGUCAACUGUUAGACUGAAGCACUUUAUGUAAGUGAAGUAUUUUACACAAGAUAUUUAAACUAUAUCACAUUAAUAUCUUUUAUUAUAGGUAUCCUUGAACUCAUUUGGUUUGUAUUAUCAAAGCUACUUAGGCAUUUACAUUGUAGACAAGAAAUUUGAAGUAACCAUAAAUCAGCCAUUGUACUAUGUAUUUUCAUAUUGUUGUUCAUAUUGUUGAGCAGUUCUUUGGAUAACUUUAAAAUAAAAUAAUGUUGUUUACCAUCACAUACAUUAUGCAGGUUAUUUAAAAUUAUCAUGUAAAAAAUCAAUGCAGGCCUUGACAAAACAUACAAUUAGUUAGGUUAUUCCUUCCUGAUAAUCUUUGGGGAAUAGUCAAAGAGACUAAACAUCUCCUACAAGGCCCUGUUUCAGCUGUCUAAAUAAAGCUAUCUCUUAAUCUGAAGGAAAAGUCAAUUUUGAAUAUCUGAUAUCUUUAUAAUUUUUUUCAUGUAGCUAAGUGCUUCCAUUUAGUAACUAUUGUAUCCCAUAAUGGAAGUUUUUGCCAAUCAUCUACAGAAUUUGAAUUUAGAUGCACCUAAACCCAAUGUUAGCCUACUUUUGGAUUAUAAGUAGAUUUAUAUGCUGCUUUACUAAGAAUAUAGUAAUAUUCAUGAAAGAGAAUGCAAUCCCUGAAAACUAUUCCUAAAUGUAAGUGAAGCUGUUUGUUGGAGAGACGAUUAGUCUUGGCGCACUAAAAUCCAUAGAAUACUAUAUUACCUGUAAUGAAGUGUGAAUUUAGAGGGAAAUAAAACAGCUUGACAAUCUCCUAUUAAAAAUUCUCUUUGAGAAAAUACUUAUAAUAAACAUCUUAUUUUAGCCAUCUUGA